rnacentral:misc_RNA from 1 species
ACCUCCUCCAACAACAAAAUCGUUACUAAUAUUCACUAUUACAUGAAAAAUUCUGCUGUUUCUCGCAAUCUCUGAUUCCCCUGCUCAUGCUGAUUCUGGUAAAACCUCAUCACCUUUCCUCAAAACCCUAAAACACCCAAAUUAUCUUUUCCGUUGUAGGUUGUCGACCAAUUUAUAAGGUCACCCAUGGCUUCGAGGGACCAAGCGCUUUCUCUUCUCGCUGCAGCGAACACUCAUAGCGAUUUGGCGGUGAAGCUCUCCUCCUUGAAGCAGGCCAAAGACAUUCUAUUGUCAGUCGAACCGUCUUUAGCUGCCGAGCUUUUCCCUUACUUGGCUGAACUUCAAUUUUCGCCCGAGAAUCUAGUUCGAAAAAUGCUUGUCAAGAUAAUUGAAGAAAUUGGUUUAAAAGCAAUGGAGCACUGUUCUGUACUUAUACCUGUCUUAUUGGC